GUCAUUGCAGUCAAAACUCAUCAUGGACAUGAGGGCCACUGCUCAGUUCUUUGGGCUCCUGUUGCUUUGGUUUCAAGGUGCCAGAUGUGACAUCCAGAUGACCCAGACUCCACCCUCCCUGUCUGCCUCUCUGGGAGACAGUGUCUCUAUCAGUUGCAGGGCAAGUGAGGGCAUUGACAACUAUUUAAAUUGGUAUCAGCAGAAACCAGAUGGAAAUGUUAAACUCCUCAUCUACUACACAUCAAAGUUACUCUCAGGAGUCCCAUCAAGGUUCAGUGGCAGUGGAUCUGGGAUAGACUAUUCUCUCACCAUCAGCAACCUGGAACCUGAUGACAUUGCCACUUAUUAUUGUCUACAUUAUAAAAAGCUUCCUCCCACAAUGAUACAUGUCAUAACAUAA